GAAAUGCGAUAAGUAAUGUGAAUUGCAGAAUUCAGUGAAUCAUCGAAUCUUUGAACGCACCUUGCGCUCCUUGGUAUUCCUUGGAGCAUGCCUGUUUGAGUAUCAUGAAAUCUUCAAAGUAAAUCUUUUGUUAACUCAAUUGGUUUCUACUUUGGUAUUGGAGGUCUUUGCAGCUUCACACCUGCUCCUCUUUGUUCAUUAGCUGGAUCUCAGUGUUAUGCUUGGUUCCACUCGGCGUGAUAAGUUAUCUAUCGCUGAGGACACUGUAAAAGGUGGCCAAGGUAAAUGCAGAUGAACCGCUUCUAAUAGUCCAUUGGCUUGGACAAUACUUUUAUGAUCUGAUCUCAAAUCAGGUAGGACUACCCGCUGAACUUAAGC
rnacentral:misc_RNA from 1 species